AUUAAGGUGGCAGAGCCAGUAAUUGCAUAAAAUUUAAGCUUUUAUCACCAGAGGUUCAAAUCCUCUCCUUAAUA
rnacentral:tRNA from 1 species